rnacentral:lncRNA from 1 species
GCUGCGCACUUCGGUCUUUUACGUCGGCCUUCGCGAGCGUCUGGGCGGGUGGUAGGUGAGUGGGUAUUGCGGGCUAGUAUCCGAGCAAAAGAUGGUGGCGCAGGCCGAGUUAAGAGCUUUAAUCCUGUGAAGACAUCUUAGUGAAGAGUUUAGAGUGCUGAGAGUUGAAAGCUUGCACGUGGGAAACGUGCGGCCGGACUGCCACAUGUACUGAGGUUGAGUCGUGACGGCCACAGGCUCCGAGUUUUGGCGUGAGGAACCGCUGAUCGGCCACGGGCGCCGAACUUGCUGGCCUCCGGCAUGUGCCUGAGCGGCGGCGGAAAAACCACCUUAAUUGGGGCGGAGGGUUAGUUUUAACAGCAAAGGGCCUUUACUAAAAUGGCGAAGGCCUUCCGUCGGCGUUGUUUUAAAAUGGGAAGCCUCGACCCUGUAUUGAAACUGAGCUGUUCGAAGGCGGCGUUGUGUGCAAUUCGGAUUAAUGAAGGGGAAGGGUUUUGUGUGGAAAAACGCCUUGGAGUGUGACAUUUCUGCGAGAAUGCUUAAAUACCGAUUUCCCGCAGGAACAAUGGCGCUGUCUUCAGUGGCACAGUGGAGCAGCUCUGAAGAUGCAAAGAUACACGAAAAAACUUCCAGAACAUCUGGGAGAAUAUUUAAUGGAAAAUCGCUUGGUUAAAACCUGACACUUUUAACAGUGAACAGCGUUCUGAGUGUGGACGAGUAGCCAGUGAAGAUAAUGAAUGUCGAAUGUGACUGACUAGCAGCUUCAUUUUGAAUGAGGGUCGCUGUCUGCCCAUUGAUAGAGGCCAGAUUGUCUUGGAAGUUCCAAAGUUGCAACGAUUUCUUUAGUUGAAUCCAUGGACAUGAAACCCACAGAUAUAGAGGGUUGGCCCGGUGCAGUGGCUCACGCCUGUAAUCCCAGCACUUUGGGAGGCCAAGGCGGGUGGAUCACCUGAGGUCAGAAGCUUGAGACCAGCCUGGCCAACAUGGGUACUGCUUUCUCUUGCUGCAGCUUGCUUCCUCCCUCAGGUAUGAAGUUAAGGUAACAUGAAGGAGGAUAUUGAAUGUUCCUAACACAAAGAAAUGAUAAAUGUUUGAGAUGGUGGAUGUACUAAUUGCCCUGAUCUGAUGACUAUACAUUAUAUAUAUUGAAACAUCAGUAUGUACCCCAUGAAUAUGUACAAUUAUAUGUCAACUUAAACACAUUUAAAAGUAAAAAAAAAAAAAUCCAAAA